CUUGAGUGUAAUGCAAUCGGGAGGGGGAGGCGGUCGCGCUGGGGGCGGCGCGACGCGGCUCGGGCCCGACAGUGCCCCACCGGGGCCCUAGUUAUUUUUGUCCUCACUGGCCUCCAAGUUUUCUAGGAUGAUGCAAUGUCCAGCCAUCAACACAUUUGUGAAGGAAUUUUUACUCCCCAAAAGAGCCCCCCCCCCAUGGCAGGAGAAAAAAGUCAAUUUUUUCUUGUCCCCUAAGGUGGAAAUUCACACUAUUGACUGUCACGCCUGUACGCUUUAUCAUAUUGACACAAAAAUUGACACACAUAUGUAUCUCAAUAAGAUCUACAAAAAAGUCAAUGCGCGCGUAUCUGUCAAAUGUACGGUUAAAGGGCUAUUUUGCAUUUUUUGCCGAUUCGCACACAUUGGAAUGUGGCUAACUCCUCCUAAGGCUUUCGUCCCACUGACACCAAAUUUGCUCAGGCCAAUCUACACCCCAUGGCCAUUCAAAGUUGUAAAAAUCAUGACGCUGCACCCCACGGUUUACGUUCUAGGGGGCGCCAAAGAUGACCCAAAUAUCCAAAUUCUUAAAAGAAUCCACAUCCCCCCCCCAUCCCCCACCCCCCAUGGCAGGAGAAACAGUCAAGUUUUUCCUGCCCAUCACUCAAUGGCUCAAUCGCAUCGCUCUCCCGGCAACACCGUAACGAGGAGCAACUUGCCGUUUGGAUAUAUCCUAGCUGUGUUUGUGCCCUCACUCAUGGUCCAGACUUUUUUCAAAUAGGACAUGUAGUUUGUCUGCAGCGAGUGUUUUGGUAGAAACUGCGCCUCCCAUUCAUUAUAAUGGGAAAUGACCACAGACAAGUGCGCACACCAUCUUUGGACCUUGAGUGUGACGCGAUCGGGACAGUGCCCCACCGGGGCCCUAGUUAUUAUUUUUCCUCCGCUUUAAACUGGAAAAUGGCCCACUUCCCACUGGCGAAAACUCAGGAAAUUUGGCAGGACGACCGGGCCUGGUGAAAAAUUCGAUAUUCUGAAGUCGCCCAAACAAUAAAAUGCAAAAUGGCUCCAUAGCGCCCCCUAAGGUGAAAAUUCACAUGACGGCUGUACGCUUUGUCAUAUUGACACAAAAAUUGACACACACAUGUAUCUCAAUAAGAUCUACAAAAAAGUCAGUGCGGGCGUAUCUGUCAAAUGUACGGUUAAUGGGUUAUUUUGCAUUUUUUGCAGAUCUGCACACAUUGGAAUUUCGCUAACUCCUCCGAAGGCUUUCGUUCGACCGGCACCACAUUUGCGCAGGCCAAUCUACCCCCCAUGGCCAUUAAAAGUUGUACAAAUCAUGACGCAAAUGACACAAGUCUUAUAACGUUCUAGGGGGCGCCAAAGAUAACCCAAAAUCCACAUUCUUAAAAGUCUUAUAACUUUUUAUUUUUGUCCUCACUGCCCUCCAAGUUUUCUAGGAUGAUGCAAUGUCCAGCCAUCAACACAUUUGUGAAGGAAUUUUUACUCCCCAAAAGAGCGCCCCCCAUGGCAGGAGAAAAAAGUCAAUUUUUUCUUGUCCCCUUACAUGAAAAUACACAUUGUUGAGUGUCACGCCUGAACGCUUUGUCAUAUUGACACAAAAAUUGACAAUCAUGUGUAUCUCAAUUAGAUCUACGAAAAAGUCAAAAAGCGCGUAUCUGUAUAAUGUACGGUUAAAGGGCUAUUUCGCAUUUUUUGCCGAUUCGCACACAUUGGAAUGUGGCUAUCUCCUCCUAAGGCUUUCGUCCCAUCGGCACCAAAUUUGCUCAAGCCGAUCUACAUCCCAUGGCCAUUCAAAGUUGUAAAAAUCAUGACGCUGCACCCCACGGUUUACGUUCUAGGGGGCACCAAAGAUGACCCAAAAAUCCACAUUCUUAAAAGUCAUUUUGGCCACUGCAGGAGUACAGAGUACUGCAGUUCUAGGGGGCGCCAAAGAUGACACAAAAAUCCACAUUCUUAAAAGUCUUUUUGGCCACUGCAGGAGUACAGAGUACUGCAGGAUACACACACAUAUACACACACACACACACACACACACACACACACACACACACACACACACACACACACACUCAGAGUCUGUUUUUUAGCACCUGCAAAAACAUGCUGUUUACAUAUUUGACAAGAAUGCAGAGGCUUCCUUUUGCCCCUGAAAAAAAUCAGAUUUCAAACACAACUUGACUGUUCAUUUCUCCAAAAGACAACCAUGAAGCUCCAUCCAAACCUGAAGCAGAUAGUUGGUGCAUGUGUACAGUAACCUGAGGGGAGUGAGGUGACUAUUUCUGAGGAGAACAUGAGCAGUGAAGAUUCACCUUGGAGCUAGAACAGGGACGUGCACAUGAUUAUACAGGGGCAGGGGCUCAAGUUUUUUCCAGUCAUUUAUACAAUAUGGAAAUUAAUGUGAAAUUAAAACACAAAUAUGUGUGAUGAACUGUUUUUAAAACUUAAACUUCAAAUAAAAAUUGUAAACUUCAAAACAUAUGCAAAUUUUUAACAAAGAACAUAGUUAUUUACCUCUAUUUACAUCAAAAUGCAGGCAAUGGCCCAGGCGUUCUUUGUAAAAUUAUUUACAAAACACUGUAUAGUCUCACAAAUGUCACUUUUUAUUUAUGCCACUACAAAAAAACAUGAUGUAAAUGAUGCAUGAUGUAAAACAUGAUGUAAAAAACUUGUGUAGAUCCUCCUCUAUGUCAGUCCAUGUGUAAUUUUUCCAUAAUUCUUUGUUUUUUGCAGCAUUUUUGUUAGUGUAACUGCAGAUUGUGCUGACAGUCUAUGGCAAAAAAAAACCAAAAACUGAAAAUGCCUCAACAUGAACCCCUGGUGGUCUCUGAGGGUGAAACCUGCUAACUGCUGCAGCUCUGUCAGCUUCAGUCUCCCAUGCAGAGCUCGGAGCGCAUGUGUGGCUCUGCACCCUUAGCAGCGUUGCUAACUCCUCAGUAAGGAAAGCCUGCUUCAUGUCAGAGUCUCUAAACUCCAGAAGAAGUCGAUAAAAGUCACUUUCUUUCUAAAAAAAAAGUCGUUAGGGGGUCUGAAAAGUCAUUGAAUCUAACAACAAAGUCGCUAGGUUUGCAACUACGUGUCCCAGACUGCAUCCCUGCUGAGAGUCCCUUCCUCCCUUCUCAUAUUGCAGGAAGAACGUAAGCGCCCGCCCCUUGUCAAUCAGUCACCAUAUAAUUUUGGAUUGGUUGUUGUGGUGAAGUUUUCCACCAAUAGGAGAGAUGUUGUGGUGUGUUUUUUUUUUCCUUUGGCAAGCCUUUUCCGCCUGUAAGACCUGUCGCUAAUGUCUGCAUGCUAUGUUUUCCUGUCGCAUACAGCGCGAUCGAGCGCCGAACGUGAUCAAAAUAAGCAGAAAACAAGUAUCGCGGGCAUAAUUUAUCAUAACUCUGGUUUUAUUUGGCCUAUCAACACAAUUUAAAAACUGGUAUAUAGGUUGAGGUCCUCACUUUUGAGAUAAGUUGAAACAGAGUCAACAAGGCUCCGUCUUGCAGCUACAUCCGGUUAAAUAUGUCAUGUGACUUGAACGCACACACACACACACACACACACACACAGACACACACACACACACACGCACACACACACACUCAGAGUCUGGUUUUUAGCACCUGCAAAAACAUGCUAUUUACAUAUUUGACAAGAAUGCAGAGGCUCCUUUUGCCCCUGAAAAAAAUCAAAUUUCAAACACAACUUGACUGGUCAUUUCUCCAAAAGACAACCAUGAAGCUCCAUCCAAACCUGAAGCAGGCAGUUGGUGCAUGUGUACAGUAACCUGAGGGGAGUGAGGUGACUGCUUCUGAGGAGAACAUGAGCAGUGAAGAUUCACCUUGGAGCUAGAACAGAGACAUGCACAUGAUUAUACAGGGGCAGGGGCUCAAGUUUUUUCCAGUCAUUUAUACAAUAUUGAAAUUAAUGUGAAAUUAAAAAACAAGUAUUAAUAGAAAGGUUAUGACUGUCCUGUGUAGAUGACAGUGAUAUCCAAUAGGCUAGGCACUCACGAGGCUGGCUGUGGCAAGUGUAAGUGAAAGCAACACGCACUGGCAGGAAGAACAGCAAACGCCGAUGAAGGAAAAGGGUCUUUGCAGUGAUGGGCGUUACCAGAGAGGGCGAUGGCCAGAGGACACAAAUGGGACGGGGAGGCAGCGCGUUGGGGGGGGGGCGCGACACAGCUCGGGCCCGCCAGUGCCCCAACGGGGUCCUAGUCUUUGUUUCUUUUUUCUUUUUCCUCCCCUUUGAACUGGAAAAUGGCCCACUUCCCACUGGCGAAAACUCAUGAAAUUUGGCAGGACGACCGGGCCUGGUGAAAAAUUUGAUAUUCUGAAGUCGCCCAAACAAUACAAUGCAAAAUGGCUCCAUAGCGCCCCCUAAGGUGAAAAAUUCACCUGACGCCUGUACGCUUUGUCAAAAUGACACAAAAAUUGACACACACAUGUAUCUCAAUAAGAUCUACAAAAAAGUCAGUGCGGGCGUAUCUGUCAAAUGUACGGUUAAAGGGUUAUUGCGCAUUUUUUGCCGAUCCGCACACAUUGGAAUUUCGCUAACUCCUCCGAAGGCUUUCGUUCCACCGGCACCACAUUUGCUCAGGCCAAUCUACACCCCAUGGCCAUUAAAAGUUAUUCAAAUCAUGACGCUGCACCCCACGGUUUAGGUUCUAGGGGGCGCCAAAGAUAACCCUAAAAUCCACAUAUUUCAAAGUCUUAUAACUUUUUAUUUUUGCCCUCACUGGCCUCCAAGUUUUCUAGGAUGAUGCAAUGUCCAGCCAUCAACACAUUUGUGAAGGAAUUUUUACUCCCCAAAAGAGCGCCCCCCAUGGCAGGAGAAAAAAGUCCAUUUUUUCUUGUCCCAUAAGGUGAAAAUUCACACUAUUGACUGUCACGCCUGUACGCUUUGUCAAAAUUACACAAAAAUUGACACACACAUGUAUCUCAAUAAGAUCUACAAAAAAGUCAGGGCGGGCGUAUCUGUCAAAUGUACGGUUAAAGGGUUAUUGCGCAUUUUUUGCCGAUCCGCACACAUUGGAAUUUCGCUAACUCCUCCGAAGGCUUUCGUUCCACCGGCACCACAUUUGCUCAGGCCAAUCUACACCCCAUGGCCAUUAAAAGUUAUUCAAAUCAUGACGCUGCACCCCACGGUUUAGGUUCUAGGGGGCGCCAAAGAUAACCCUAAAAUCCACAUAUUUAAAAGUCUUAUAACUUUUUAUUUUUGUCCUCUCUGGCCUCCAAGUUUUCUAGGAUGAUGCAAUGUCCAGCCAUCAACACAUUUGUGAAGGAAUUUUUACUCCCUAAAAGAGCGCCCCCCCAUGGCAGGAGAAAAAAGUCCAUUUUUUCUUGUCCCAUAAGGUGAAAAUACACAUUGUUGACUGUCAUACCUGUAUGCUUUGUCAUAUUGACACAAAAUUUGACACACACAUGUAUCUCAAUAAGAUCUACGAAAAAGUCAAUGCGCGCGUAUCUGUAAAAUGUACGGUUAAAGGGCUAUUUUGCAUUUUUUGCCGAUUCGCACACAUUGGAAUGUGGCUAACUCCUCCUAAGGCUUUCGUCCCACUGAUACCAAAUUUGCUCAGGCCAAUCUACACCCCAUGGCCAUUCAAAGUUGUAAAAAUCAUGACGCUGCACCCCACGGUUUACGUUCUAGGGGGCGCCAAAGAUGACCCAAAUAUCCACAUUCUUAAAAGAAUCCACAUCCCCCCCCCCAUCCCCCAUCCCCCAUCCCCCAUCCCCCAUGGCAUGAGAAACAGUCAAGUUUUUCCUGCCCAUCACUCAAUGGCUCAAUCGCAUCGCUCUCCCGGCAACACCGUAACGAGGAGCAACUUGCCGUUUGGAUAUAUCCUAGCUGUGUUUGUGCCCUCACUCAUGGUCCAGACUUUUUUCAAAUAGGACAUGUAGUUUGUCUGCAGCGAGUGUUUUGGUAGAAACUGCGCCUCCCAUUCAUUAUAAUGGGAAAUGACCACAGACAAGUGCGCACACCAUCUUUGGACCUUGAGUGUGACGCGAUCGGGAGGGGGAGGCGGUCGCACUGGGGGCGGCGCAACGCGGCUCGGGCCCGCCAGUGCCCCAACGGGGCCCUAGUUAUUAGGGCCCGAGCGUAGCUGCUAAGCAGCUGCGAGAGCCCUCUUGUUCCUGAUGGAUUCUUCUUUCGUUAUUUUUCCUCCGCUUUAAACUGGAAAAUGGCCCACUUCCCACUGGCGAAAACUCAUGAAAUUUGGCAGGAAGACCGGGCCUGGUGAAAAAUUCGAUAUUCUGAAGUCGCCCAAACAAUACAAUGCAAAAUGGCUCCAUAGCGCCCCCUAAGGUGAAAAUUCACAUGCGGGCUGUACGCUUUGUCAAAAUGACACAAAAAUUGACACACACAUGUAUCUCAAUAAGAUCUACAAAAAAGUCAGUGCGGGCGUAUCUGUCAAAUGUACGGUUAAAGGGUUAUUUCGCAUUUUUUGCAGAUCUGCACACAUUGGAAUUUCGCUAACUCCUCCGAAGGCUUUCGUUCCACCGGCACCACAUUUGCGCAGGCCAAUCUACCCCCCAUGGCCAUUAAAAGUUGUACAAAUCAUCUUGCUGCACCCCACGGUUUAGGUUCUAGGGGGCGCCAAAGAUAACCCAAAAAUCCAAAGUGUUAAAAGUCUUAUAACUUUUUAUUUUUCUCCAAACUGGCCUCCAAGUUUUCUAGGAUGAUGCAAUGUCCAGCCAUCAACACAUCUGUGAACAAAUUUUUACUCCCCAAAAGAGCGCCCCCCCAUGGCAGGAGAAAAAAGUCCAUUUUUUCUUGUCCCGUAAGGUGAAAAUACACAUUUUUGAGUGUCACCCCUGUACCCUUUGUCAUAUUGACACAAAAUUUGACACACACAUGUAUCUCAAUAAGAUCUACGAAAAAGUCAAUGCGCGCGUAUCUGUCAAAUGUACGGUUAAAGGGUUAUUCCGCAUUUUUUGCCGAUCCGCACACAUUGGAAUUUCGCUAACUCCUCCGAAGGCUUUCGUUCCACCGGCACCACAUUUGCUCAGGCCAAUCUACACCCCAUGGCCAUUAAAAGUUAUUCAAAUCAUGACGCUGCACCCCACGGUUUAGGUUCUAGGGGGAGCCAAAGAUAACCGUAAAAUCCACAUAUUUAAAAGUCUUAUCACUUUUUAUUUUUGUCCCCACUGGCCUCCAAGUUUUCUAGGAUGAUGCAAUGUCCAGCCAUCAACACAUUUGUGAAGGAAUUUUUACUCGGCAAAAGAGCGCCCCCCCAUGGCAGGAGAAAAAAGUCAAUUUUUUCUUGUCCACUAAGGUGAAAAUACACAUUGUUGAGUGCUACGCCUGUAUGUUUUGUCGUAUUGACACAAAAUUUUACAUACACGUGUAUUUCAAUAAGAUCUUCAAAAAAGUCAAUGGCCACGUAUCUGUAAAAUGUACGGUUAAAGGGUUAUUUCGCAUUUUUUGCAGAUUCGCACACAUUGGAAUUUCGCUAAUUCCUCCGAAGGCUUUCGUUCCACCGGCACCACAUUUGCUCAGGCCAAUCUACACCCCAUGGCCAUUAAAAGUUAUUCAAAUCAUGACGCUGCACCCCACGGUUUAGGUUCUAGGGGGCGCCAAAUAUAACCCUAAAAUCCACAUAUUUAAAAGUCUUAUAACUUUUUAUUUUUGUCCUCACUGGCCUCCAUGUUUUCUAGGAUGAUGCAAUGUCCAGCCAUCAACACAUUUGUGAAGGAGUUUUUCUCUUUAAAAGAGCGCCCCCCCAUGGCAGGAGAAUAAAGUCAAGUUUUUCCUGUUCAUCAUUCAAUGGCUCAAACGCACUGCUCUCUCGGCAAAAGCGAAAGGAGGAGCAACUUGCCAUUUGGAUAUAUCUUAGCUGUGUUUGUGCCCUCACUCAUGGUCCAGACUUUUUUCAAAUAGGACAUGGAGUUUUUCUGCAGCGAGCGUUUUGGUAGAAACUGCGCCUCCCGUUCAUUAUAAUGGUAAAUGACCACAAACAAGUGCGCACACCAUCUUUGGACCUUGAGUGUGACGCGAUCGGGUGGGGGAGGCGGUCGCGCUGGGGGCGGCGUGACACGGCUCGGGCCCGCCAGUGCCCCAACGGGGCCCUAGUGUUAUUAGGGCCCGAGCGUAGCUGCUAAGCAGCUGCGAGAGCCCUCUUGUUAGGGCCCGAGCGCAGCUGCUAAGCAGCUGCGAGAGCCCUAUUAUUCCCCAAGAGGUUUUUCUUUGUUUCUUUCUUUCUUCUUUUUCCUCCCCUUUGAACUGGAAAAUGGCCCACUUCCCACUGGCGAAAACUCAUGAAAUUUGGCAGGAUGACCGGGCCUGGUGAAAAAUUUGAUAUUCCGAAGUCGCCCAAACAAGAAAAUGCAAAAUGGCUCCAUAGCGCCCCCUAAGGUGAAAAUUCACACUAUUGACUGUCACGCCUUUACGCUUUGUCAAAAUGACACAAAAAUUGACACACAUAUGUAUCUCAAUAAGAUCUACAAAAAAGUCAGUGCGGGCGUAUCUGUCAAAUGUACGGUUAAAGGGUUAUUCCGCAUUUUUUGCCGAUCCGCACACAUUGGAAUUUCGCUAACUCCUCCGAAGGCUUUCUUUCCACCGGCACCACAUUUGCUCAGGCCAAUCUACACCCCAUGGCCAUUAAAAGUUAUUCAAAUCAUGACGCUGCACCCCACGGUUUAGGUUCUAGGGGGCGCCAAAGAUAACCCUAAAAUCCACAUAUUUCAAAGUCUUAUAACUUUUUAUUUUUGUCCUCACUGGCCUCCAAGUUUUCUAGGAUAAUGCAAUGUCCAGCCAUCAACACAUUUGUGAAGGAAUUUUUACUCCCCAAAAGAGCGCCCCCCCAUGGCAGGAGAAAAAAGUCCAUUUUUUCUUGUCCCGUAAGGUGAAAAUUCACAUUGUUGAGUGUGACACCUGUACGCUUUGUCAUAUUGACACAAAAUUUGACAAUCACGUGUAUCUCAAUAAGAUCUACGAAAAAGUCAAUGAGUGCGUAUCUGUCAAAUGUACGGUUAGAGGGCUAUUUUGCAUUUUUUGCCGAUUCGCACACAUUGGAAUGUGGCUAACUCCUCCUAAGGCUUUCGUCCCACUGACACCAAAUUUGCUCAGGCCAAUCUACACCCCAUGGCCAUUCAAAGUUGUAAAAAUCAUGACGCUGCACCCCACGGUUUACGUUCUAGGGGGCGCCAAAGAUGACCAAAAAAUCCACAUUCUUAAAAGAAUCCACAUUCUUAAAAGAAUCCCCCAUGGCAGGAGAAAAAGUCAAGUUUUUCCUGCCCAUCGCUCAAUGGCUCAAUCGCAUCGCUCUCCAGGCAACACCGUAAGGAGGAGCAACCUGCCAUUUGGAUAUAUCCCAGCUGUGUUUGUGCCCUCACUCAUGGUCCAGACUUUUUUCAAAUAGGACAUGAAGUUUGUCUGCAGCGAGUGUUUUGGUAGAAACUGCGCCUCCCAUUCAUUAUAAUGGGAAAUGACCACAGACAAGUGCGCACACCAUCUUUGGACCUUGAGUGUGACGCGAUCGGGAGGGGUAGGCGGUCACGCUGGGGGCGGCACGACGCGGCUCGGGCCCGACAGUGCCCCACCGGGGCCCUAGUUUCUUCUUUUUCCUCCCCUUUGAACUGGAAAAUGGCCCACUUCCCACUGGCGAAAACUCAUGAAAUUUGGCAGGACGACCGGGCCUGGUGAAAAAUUCGAUAUUCUGAAGUCGCCCAAACAAUAAAAUGCAAAAUGGCUCCAUAGCGCCCCCUAAGGUGGAAAUUCACACUAUUGACUGUCACGCCUGUACGCUUUGUCAAAAUGACACAAAAAUUGACACACAUAUGUAUCUCAAUAAGAUCUACAAAAAAGUCAGUGCGGCCGUAUCUGUCAAAAUUACGGUUAAAGGGUUAUUUCGCAUUUUUUGCCGAUCCGCACACAUUGGAAUUUCGCUAACUCCUCCAAAGGCUUUCGUUCCACCGGCACCACAUUUGCUCAGGCCAAUCUACACCCCGUGGCCAUUAAAAGUUAUCAAAAUCAUGACGCUGCACCCCAAGGUUUAGGUUCUAGGGGGCGCCAAAGAUAACCCUAAAAUCCACAUUUUUAAAAGUCUUAUAACUUUUUAUUUUUGUCCUCACUGGCCUCCAAGUUUUCUAGGAUGAUGCAAUGUCCAGCCAUCAACACAUUUGUGAAGGAAUUUUUACUCCCCAAAAGAGCGCCCCCCCAUGGCAGGAGAAAAAAGUCCAUUUUUUCUUGUCCCCUAAGGUGAAAAUACACAUUGUUGAGUGUCACGCCUAUACGCUUUGUCAAAAUGACACAAAAAUUGACACACACAUGUAACUCAAUAAGAUCUACAAAAAAGUCAGUGCGCGCGUAUCUGUCAAAUGUACAGUUAAAGGGUUAUUCCGCAUUUUUUGCCGAUACGCACACAUUGGAAUUUCGCUAACUCCUCCGAAGGCUUUCGUUCCACCGGCACCACAUUUGCUCAGGCCAAUCUACACCCCAUGGCCAUUAAAAGUUAUUCAAAUCAUGAUGCUGCACCCCAUGGUUUAGGUUCUAGGGGGCGCCAAAGAUAACCCAAAAAUCCACAUUCUUAAAUGUUUUAUAACUUUUUAUUUCUGUCCUCACUGGCCUCCAAGUUUUCUAGGAUGAUGCAAUGUCCAGCCAUCAACACAUUUGUGAAGGAAUUUUUACUCCCCAAAAGAGCGCCCCCCCAUGGUAGGAGAAAAAAGGCAAUUUUUUCUUGUCCCCUUACAUAAAAAGACACAUUGUUGAGUGUCACGCCUGAACGCUUUGUCAUAUUGACACAAAAUUUGACAAUCAUGUGUAUCUCAAUUAGAUCUACGAAAAAGUCAAAGAGCGCAUAUCUGUAUAAUGUACGGUUAAAGGGCUAUUUUGCAUUUUUUGCCGAUUCGCACACAUUGGAAUGUGGCUAUCUCCUCCUAAGGCUUUCGUCCCACCGAUACCAAAUUUGCUCAGGGCUAUCUACACCCCAUGCCCAUUCAAAGUUGUAAAAAUCAUGACGCUGCACCCCACGGUUUACGUUCUAGGGGGCGCCAAAGAUGACCCAAAAAUCCACAUUCUUAAAAGUCAUUUUGGCCACUGCAGGAGUACAGAGUACUGCAGUUCUAGGGGGCGCCAAAGAUGACCCAAAAAUCCACAUUCUUAAAAGUCUUUUUGGCCACUGCAGGAGUACAGAGUACUGCAGGAUACACACACAUAUACACACACGCCAACAUACACACACACACACACACAGACACACACACACAAUCAGAGUCUGUUUUUUAGCACCUGCAAAAACAUGCUGUUUACAUAUUUGACAAGAAUGCAGAGGCUUCCUUUUGCCCCUGAAAAAAAUCAAAUUUCAAACACAACUUGACUGUUCAUUUCUCCAAAAGACAACCAUGAAGCUCCAUUUCAAACCUGAAGCAGAUAGUUGGUGCAUGUGUACAGUAACCUGAGGGGAGUGAGGUGACUAUUUCUGAGGAGAACAUGAGCAGUGAAGAUUCACCUUGGAGCUAGAACAGGGACGUGCACAUGAUUAUACAGGGGCAGGGGCUCAAGUUUUUUCCAGUCAUUUAUACAAUAUGGAAAUUAAUGUGAAAUUAAACCACAAAUAUGUGUGAUGAACUGUUUUUAAAACUUAAACUUCAAAUAAAAAUUGUAAACUUCAAAACAUAUGCAAAUUUUUAACAAAGAACAUAGUAAUUUACCUCUAUUUACAUCAAAAUGCAGGCAAUGGCCCAGGCGUUCUUUGUAAAAUUAUUUACAAAACACUGUAUAGUCUCACAAAUGUCACUUUUUAUUUAUGCCACUACAAAAAAACAUGAUGUAAAUGAUGCAUGAUGUAAAACAUGAUGUAAAAAACUUGUGUAGAUCCUCCUCUAUGUCAGUCCAUGUGUAAUUUUUCCAUAAUUCUUUGUUUUUUGCAGCAUUUUUGUUAGUGUAACUGCAGAUUGUGCUGACAGUGUCUAUGGCACAAAAAAAAAAAAAAAAUUUUUAAUGCCUCAACAUGAACCCGUGGUGGUCUCUGAGGGUGAAACCUGCUAACUGCUGCAGCUCUGUCAGCUUCAGUCUCCCAUGCAGAGCUCUGAGCGCAUGUGUGGCUCUGCACCCUUAGCAGCGUUGCUAACUCCUCAGUAUGGAAAGCCUGCUUCAUGUCAGAGUCUCUAAACUCCAGAAGAAGUCGAUAAAAGUCCCUUUCUUUCUAAAAAAAAGUCGUUAGGGGGUCUGAAAAGUCAUUGAAUCUAACAACAAAGUCGCUAGGUUUGCAACUACGUGUCCCAGACUGCAUCCCUGCUGAGAGUCCCUCCCUCCCUUCUCAUGUUGCAGGAAGAACGUAAGCGCCCCCCUUGUCAAUCAGUCACCAUAUAAUUUUGGAUUGGUUGUUGUGGUGAAGUUUUCCACCAAUAGGAGAGAUGUUGUGGUGUGUUUUUUUUUUCUUUUGGCAAGCCUUUUCCGCCUGUAAGAACUGUCGCUAAUGUCUGCAUGCUAUGUUUUCCUGUCUCAUACAGCGCGAUCGAGCGCCGAACGUGAUCAAAAUAAGCAGAAAAAAAAUAUCGCGGACAUAAUUUAUCAUAACUCUGGUUUUAUUUGGCCUAUCAACACAAUUUAAAAACUGGUAUAUAGGUUGAGGUCCUCACUUUUGAGAUAAGUUGAAACGGAGAGUCAACGAGGCUCCGUCUUGCAGCUACAUCCGGUUAAAUAUGUCAUGUGACUUGAACGCACACACAGACACACACACACGCACACACACACACACACACACACACACACACACACACACACACACACACACACACACACACACACACACACACUCAGAGUCUGGUUUUUAGCACCUGCAAAAACAUGCUAUUUACAUAUUUGACAAGAAUGCAGAGGCUCCUUUUGCCCCUGAAAAAAAUCAAAUUUCAAACACAACUUGACUGGUCAUUUCUCCAAAAGACAACCAUGAAGCUCCAUCCAAACCUGAAGCAGGCAGUUGGUGCAUGUGUACAGUAACCUGAGGGGAGUGAGGUGAGUGCUUCUGAGGAGAACAUGAGCAGUGAAGAUUCACCUUGGAGCUAGAACAGAGACAUGCACAUGAUUAUACAGGGGCAGGGGCUCAAGUUUUUUCCAGUCGUUUAUACAAUAUGGAAAUUAAUGUGAAAUUAAAACACAAAGUAUUAAUAGAAAGGUAAUGACUGUCCUGUGUAGGUGACAGUGAUAUCCAAUAGGCUAGGCACUCACGAGGCUGGCUGUGGCAAGUGUAAGUGAAAGCAACACGCACUGGCAGGAAGAACAGCAAACGCCGAUGAAGGAAAAGGGUCUUUGCAGUGAUGGGCGUUACCAGAGAGGGCGAUGGCCAGAGGACACAAAUGGGACGGGGAGGCAGCACGUUGGGGGGGGGGGGGGACGCGACACGGCUCGGGCCCGCCAGUGCCCCAACGGGGUCCUAGUUAGGGCCCGAGCGUAGCUGCUAAGCAGCUGCGAGAGCCCUCUUGUUCCUGCAUGUUUCCUUCUUUAGGGCCCGAGCGUAGCUGCUAAGCAGCUGCGAGAGCCCUCUUGUUCC